rnacentral:rRNA from 1 species
UACGGGGGGGGGGCAAGCGUUGUUCGGAAUUACUGGGCGUAAAGGGCUCGUAGGCGGCCAACUAAGUCCGACGUGAAAUCCCCCAAGCUUAACUUGGGAACUGCGUCGGAUACUGGAUGGCUUGAAUUCGGGAGAGGGAUGCAGAAUUCCAGGUGUAGCGGUGAAAUGCGUAGAUAUCUGGAGGAACACCGGUGGCGAAGGCGGCAUCCUGGACCGGCAUUGACGCUGAGGCGCGAAAGCUAGGGGGAGCAAACGGG